GAUGAAGAACGCAGCGAAAUGCGAUAAGUAAUGUGAAUUGCAGAAUUCAGUGAAUCAUCGAAUCUUUGAACGCACCUUGCACCCUUUGGUAUUCCGAAGGGUAUGCUCGUUUGAGUGUCAUUGUACUCUCACACUUCUAAUUCCUUUCGGGAUUGGGAGCGGUGGACUUGGGUGUUGCUGCUUUAGUUGUGGCUCACCUCAAAUAAGUUAGUGCAACUCUUGUUGGACAUAGUACGGCGUGAUAAGUGUCUUCGCCGGCGCCUCUGUAAGGAGGGUGGCCGAUCGGGAGCUCUGUGCUUCAAACCGUCUUCGGACAAUCUUUGACAACUUGACCUCAAAUCGAGUAGGACUACCCGCUGAACUUAAGCAUAUCAAUAAGCGGAGGA
rnacentral:misc_RNA from 1 species